ACCAACUUAUCUGUAACUGACUUAAAGCGUCCGUUACGAUUAAAUGUUCAAAAUUAACCCUAAAAAUUUUGCAAUCCCCUUUUUUCAUUUUCCCUCACUCAUACUGUACUUGCUAUACUAGCUCGAUCUGUUCCCCAUUGAAGACGCAAUCUCAUCUUCUCCGUCGCCGGUCCUCUGUUUCUCCGUCACCGGGCCUCACGCCCAGCCUUUUCAAAAUAGUCAUUCCCUCCAACAUUCUCUCUCUCCUCGAUAGAUAUUCCCAAAUUCUUAGUUGUUAAAUUGAUGUUCUUAAUUUGAGCUUCAUUUCUGGGAAUUUUCCACUUGUUGAAAAAAUUAUUGGGUUUUUAGUUUGAUAAUCAACACUCAAUUGGGUUCUCAAUGUCUUGAGAAUUUGCAAUAUACGCAACAAUUUUGUAGGGAUUUCCGAAAAUUUUCAAGAAAGACUAGAAACGGUGGUGUUUGCGGCUAAUUAGUGUAUCACGGUGGUCGCUUAGGCAAUCUUGAGUGAAAAGCUUAAAAAUCGGUCUCUUUAUUGGAUUUUGGCCUGUCAAACUCGUAAUGCAGAUGGAUCGUGGGCUAUAGACCCGAAGAAUGCCAAAACCCAGCAAAUAGCCAAUGCUAUUGAUUUUUGUCCAAGGAUAGCCCCGUAUUAUGUUGACGAAUUGAAUGUGGUUCGAGAACAGUGGGCGCAAUACUUUAGAAGUAAAUAUUUAUUGUAUGCAUAACUAUUAGCUUAGGUAGAACAAAGUUAUAUUUUUAGUGUUGUUGUAUAUGUUGGAUAAAGUUAUACAAGUUUUUAUUUGUAAUGUGUUACUACUUCAAUUUUUAUAUUACGUCGUAUUAAUUCGAAAUCGGUAUAAUUGCUUAUUUACAGGAACAGGU